AUACGAAAGGUGCGAGCGUUGUUCGGAUUUACUGGGCGUAAAGCGAGUGUAGGUGGUUUGUUAAGUCGGAUGUGAAGUCCCGGGGCUCAACCUCGGAACUGCAUUCGAUACUGGCAGGCUAGAGUUCGGGAGGGGUAAGCGGAAUUCCGUGUGUAGCAGUGAAAUGCGUAGAUAUACGGAGGAACACCUGAGGCGAAGGCGGCUUACUGGACCGAUACUGACACUGAGACUCGAAAGCGUGGGUAGCAAACAGGAUUAGAAACCCUAGUAGUCC
rnacentral:rRNA from 1 species